rnacentral:rRNA from 1 species
GAGUACGUGAAACUGUGCGGCAGUAAACACAGCCUUCCUCGAAGUUGUCCGGGGAGACCCAGCCUUAGGGCGUGUCGGCUCCUGGCACCUGAUCAGCAAUGACUGGUGUCGGGGUGGUUCGGCGCGCCCGCGGGUGCAUCUAUCCCCGGAUUUACGGCAGGAACUGUUGGGACUGGACCAAGGGCCUGGGAAGAAGUUUUCGCUCCGGCGUCAGCUCCCGGUGUCCCGGCUUCGGACCCGACAGGCCUUGUGGUCGACUUGUACAGCAAGCAACGCUUCUGUUGCGGUCGGCCCUUCCCUGUCGAGUAGGUCGGCGGAGGCUGUGACCCGUCUUGAAACACGGAC